AGAGUUGGUGUAGGUGGUUGCGGACUUGGUGGGCCUGAGAGAUCAGGCCAGCGUGCUAAGGCAUCACGCUUAAAGCCAGUCUGAGGAAAGUCCGGGCUCCCCAAAGACCAGACUUGCUGGGUAACGCCCAGUGCGGGCGACCGUGAGGAAAGUGCCACAGAAACAUACCGCCAAUGGAGAUCUAUUUAUUUUUGGUGGACUUGUUCACCAAAAAUAAAAGAAAUCACAGGUAAGGGUGCAAGGGUGCGGUAAGAGCGCACCAGCAGCAUCGAGAGGUGCUGGCUCGGUAAACCCCGGUUGGGAGCAAGGUCGCGGGAACAAGGGUUGGUCUUUUUCCAGUUCCCAAUGCAAAUACCGCUUGAGGCGUUUGGUAACAAACGUCCCAGAUAGAUAACCGCCUUCUGAGGUGCAUGGCGCUGAGGAAAACAGAACCCGGCUUAUGUCCAACUCUUCCG
rnacentral:RNase_P_RNA from 1 species